GGGCGGGUAGCUCAGUUGGCCAGAGCGCCUCCCUUACAAGGAGGAGGUCAGGGGUUCGAGUCCCUUCCCGCCCA
rnacentral:tRNA from 3 species